UUGUUCAGGAAAUGCAGCAGAUCAUCAAGCAGGUGCAGCAAGUAUUGAGGAAUGGGAUUGGAAUGUUACCUUCACUGCAAAGAGCAGAAACGAUGGAAGAUCUCGCUUCAUCUGUACGAUGCACUGGAGUGGAACCCACUCUCAGGGCCUCACAACCGGCCGCUUUUUCAUAUCCCAAUGAUGUGGCCUGGAAGACUAGAGCACCUUCAGGGUGCCGGAGUUUCAUGGUUCUGGAGACAGGCUGAUUCAAGGCUGGUGCCCCCGUUUGAGGCAUCACGGGAGAACACACAAGAUCAGAAGCAGCGGCCCAGCUGCCAUGGGCUGUUUGUCCAGAGCCCUGAGCUCUUUGGGCACGGAGCUCGAUGAUGCAACAGAUUUUUAACACCAUAAAUCAAUAUCCUGGAAACGGAGAGAAAACCCCGAAGAAUGAAUGACAGAAAACAUUUGAACCCCAAAGCCGCCUCCCCCUCCCACACACACAAGUACCAGCAAAAGCAUCACCACCACCCACCAUGCAAGCAAUAGCAAAGCCCCCAGAGACCAUGAGUUAGAGUCCAUCAAAAACUUCUGCCCGUCCCAGCACUUCAACAUCUCAACAGGCCCUCUCUCUCACUAACGAGAGAGAGAAAGAGAUAUCACUCCAGCCACAGUGAGAGUGGAGGCCAACAGCCUGCUGUUGCAGCAUUACAAUCUGCAGAGUCACUUAUUCGCGUUCCCCCGACUUGAGAGCCAGUGGAUUCUCACUCACCAUCGAGAGAGAGGGAGAGAGACAGACAGUCAGACAGACAGAGACAGACAGAGAGAGAGAGAGAGAGAGAGAGAGAGAGAGAGAGAGAGAGAGAGAGAGAGAGAGAGAGAUACAGGGCUUCACCCCAAAGGCACACAUCUUUCAGCCUGCUCCUAGAGAUACCGAAACGCCAGGCCGCUCGACAAUUUCUGAGAGCGAGCGCCCACCAAACCAUGAACUACAUAGUUUCAGUACAGCUGUAAACCACAGACUCUGAUAGGACUGACAGGAAUAAAGAUUAAAGGUAAAGAUUAAGAUUAGAUUUAUUUCUCAGAUGUACAUUGAAACAUAUUGUGAAAUGCGUUGUUUGCAUCAAUCAAACCAGCAAAGAUUGUAGUGGGCAGCCUACCCUUUAGGUGCCAACACAGAACGCUCACAACUCACCAACCCUAACCCGUACGCCUUUGAAAUGUGGGAGGAAACGGGAGCACACUGAGGAAACCUAUGUGGUCACAGUACGAACUCCUUACAGGCAGUAGUGGGAAUUGAACCGUGAUCGGUGAUGCUAUCAUGCUGCCUAGAGUUUGUCUAAUCACCCCAUGACCAUACGGAUACAACUGGGUGCUUUGGCUUCCUUCCAAAACCCAGAGACGUGUUGGCAGGUUAAUCGGCCACUGUAAACUACUCCAGCACAUAGGUAAUUAUCAAAAGAAUCAAAGGGGAGAUAAUGGGAGCACGCAUGAGAUAAUAAAGUUCAGGGAUACAGGAAAAUAAGAAGUGGAAAGAUUUUUUUUGCUGAGAGUCGGUAGGGAUCUGAUGGGUGAAUGGCCUCCCUCUUGAAACUAGAGGUCUGGUGAAGCUCUAAUAAUCUGGCACAUCUGGGAAUCUGGUAGUGCCAGAUAGGAAGGUUUUCUGGAUUAUUGCAUGUUAUUCCCAA